UACAGAGGUCCCAAGCGUUGUUCGGAUUCACUGGGCGUAAAGGGUGCGUAGGCGGUCGGGUAAGUCUGAUGUGAAAUCUCCAAGCCUAACUUGGAAACUGCAUUGGAUACUAUCCGGCUAGAGGAAUGGAGGGGAGACUGGAAUACUUGGUGUAGCAGUGGAAAUGCGUAGAUAUCAAGUGGAACACCAGUGGCGAAGGCGAGUCUCGUGGACAUUUCCUGACGCUGAGGCACGAAAGCCAGGGGAGCAAACGGG
rnacentral:rRNA from 1 species